CUCCAGGUUGCAUCCCAUCAGCUUAUGAAGACAUCAACUCCUUCUGCAGGACAGAUAUAAAGAGAACAGACACUGCUGUCAUAUAAGCAGUGCACCUCGUGGUGCAGGAUCUUGAGGCUUCACUCCUCAUGAAGGGAAGUGCUGCUGCUGCUGCUGUUGGGGAAAGGGAACGUCACAGAGGAGGAGAGACAGACGUGAAAGCAGGACCUGGGCCAUGUUAAGAGAGAGAUGCUGCUUCCUCUCCCUGGAGGUGGAGUCCUUUGUUCAGGCUGCCACAAGAAAAGCUGUGUGUUUCUGCAGUGGGAACAUGAGAUCUCAUCUGGCCCGAGCUCUCCGUUCUCACCCAACUUUGGAGACACUUGUGGGGCCCACACUGGAUGAGGUGGCCUUGGAGUACACUAAGAGCAGAUGCCUCUGUGUUGAUUCAAGAUAAGCCAUCCUUCAACCCUGAGCCCUAAAUGAAGCCCAGAAGUGUGGUACCUCUGCAGCCUGCUGUGUCAUGGAAACCCCCCAAAGCUGAUUUCCGAGGAGUACCCAGCUCCAGGCAUGUUACUGCACUGCUCCAGGAAAGGCUUUUCACCAUGAUGCCAGCACACUUGUGCGUUGCCCAGAACCGUCAGCAGCCUUUACACAGCUAUCGCUCCACAGGGAGUCAUGCCCCAAAGGGUCAGGCAUUACUGCAGUGCUGCCUCUUACAAGAAUGACAAUGCCUUGGAAGGAGAGACCCUGCGCUGGCCAGCACCCCCAAAGUUUCUCGGCCUCCAGUCCCUUGAGCUGCCUGGCAAAGGAAACAGCCUGUGCUGCAGUGUGGGUCCUGGUCCUGCUGUGCCUGCAAGGAUGCAGAGGCACAGCACUCCCCAUGAUGGUGAGUCCCUCUGCCCUCAGGGCCUGAGAAGAGGCAGGUGAAAGAGCCAGUGGCUGGGAAGGGGUCUGAUCUUGCCGCUGUGCCCUGAAGCAGGAGGUGAAUGGCAAUGAACACCUGCCUUUGGCUGCAGUUUCUCUUCUUGGCAUGAAGCGCUUAUGUUUGGAUUCAAAGCGCGGUAACAAAGCCCUUGCCGGUGAACACAUUUCAACAUGUUAUUAUUCCCAGGCCGGCUUUCAAGAUCCUCUUUCUAUUCCUUCUGUACUGACUGCUCUUGUUUCUCUUGGCUCCCAGCUCUGGCUUUUCAGGCUUCAUUAACUGGAAUUUAUUAGCAACUUUAAACAAUCCUCCUGCUGCCAAAAAGAGAAAAAGGAAGAAAAAAAAGAAAGAAACAAAGAGGAGACACACUUAACUCUGGGCUGCUCCCUGCCUGUGUGAGGCCCAGGUCUGAACACCUCUGUCACCGGCAGUUUUCUGUGGAGGGAAGGACCUGGGCUGGGACCCUGCCUCUGCUCUGCGUCCCUGCUGGAGCGGGAGGCUGGUGGUGACAGAGGGGAGCGCAGCCUGAUGGAGAGGAGUCCUCAGUGGCAUUGCCUCUUCAAAGCCAGCUGAAACUGGAGAAUCUGGUCUCUUGGCAGCCUCCGAUCAUGAGUGCUAAUUGCAUCCGCAACACCUUCCUCAGCAGCUCGCAGUAAUAACUAAUGACUAACAGGUCCUGGCACACCUGAGAGGCCCAUUCUUGUCGCUGAAUGGAUGGGUAAAUAGAGGCACUGGCAGGGAAAAUCACUUUACCAAGACCACACAGUGAGUGAGCAGUUUGAGCUGGAGCAGUCCUGGUGCCCUCAGCUGUGCCCUAACCACAGCGUUGCCUCCGGUCCCCUCUGGGGCACGGCUGUUCAGUCUCCAGAGGAGACCUGAGCUAAUGCAGAAAUGUUCUGUGGGCCACAGCCCAGCUGGACAUCAUGGUGUGGCUUGGGUUGUUGCUUCUCUGCCCUCAAGACCCUCAUGUGCCACCCUGCUCUCACUUGUUCUUUGCAUUCCCCCACCGGCAUGGGUGCAUGCAGAGGACUAACAUACUCCGGUGGAUCCAGCAGCUGGGAUUCACAGUGCUCCACAGUAGCCUGGAUAAUGUGCAACAAGGCACGUUUAUCCUCAGCGUCCAUGAGACACACGUGCUUCAUCUACCCAUUUUGCAGCUUGCUUUCCUCUUCCCAUUAUUCCUGUUCUGUGGUUGAACCCCAGCUUCAUGCACAAGCUGAGCCUUGAGUCCAGCUGGUCUCUGACUUCCAUGAAACAUCACCAUGAAGAGCCUGAGAUGGUGCUAAGGUAGAGAGUCAUAGAGCCAGAGGCACAGAAAGAGGAGGAAUAGUAAAAGGUGUGAAACACCAUCUCUCCUCCAAGCCGCUGUGACCCUGGGCUACUGGGACUAGAUCUAAUGCGAGAGAAGAUUGGCAGCAGCAGAGCCAGAGAGGGGAACUACGAGGAGCUCGUGAAGGAGGUGGAGGCACACGGGCUUUCUCUGACUGUCAGAGAAAAUGAGGGUUACAGAUCACAUUCCCAUGUGCUCAAGGGCCAGGGGUGUCAGGAGUUUCUGGGAUGUUUCUGAGCAUUAGACCAAGGUAAAAAUGUCCCUUAAAAAUAAGAGUUUCCAGGGGACCUGGAAAGGAGAUUUGAAAAUCUGUGUUGAAUUAGGCAAAUAUUUUUGGCUGAGGACCCUCUGAUUUUUUUCAGAAUGUUCAAGUAUCUUUUUUAAGGCACCUUUGCAAUAAGGCAUAUACCAUUUGAAAUACUAUUUUCUUUUCAAGUUUGACCCAAAGUGAAAGAGUAAAAGUUAAGUAACCUGAAAAUAAACCAAACUUUUCUUUUUCAGGUUAAAAGAACUGUUUUGGGCUGACCAACACUCUAGAACAUCAGUUUUGGUUCACCUUGAAUUAAAUUUUGCAAGUUUUGUUUUCAGUUGCUGCGGGCUCACCCAGUUGACCAAGGGUGUAACAACACAACAGCCCGGGGGGCAGGCUGGGCUGUACGGUCACCCCAAACCCCCGGGGGUGAGGGACCUGCCAGAAGGGUUCAUCAGACUGAAGAUGGGCACUUGCAGCAAGGAGAGGCUGCAGCAGAGUCCUCCUCAUUGUCAGCCCUGCUCUUCCUGGA